rnacentral:misc_RNA from 1 species
GAUGAAGAACGUAGCGAAAUGCGAUAAGUAAUGCGAAUUGCAGAAUUCCAGUGAGUCAUCGAAUCUUUGAACGCACAUUGCGCCCUUUGGUAUUCCGAAGGGCAUGCCUGUUCGAGCGUCAUUAUCACCCCUCAAGCCCUCGGCUUGGUGUUGGACGGUUUGGUGGAGGCCCCCUCGGGGGCUCCUGCCCCUCCCAAAGACAAUGACGGCGGCCUCGUUGGACCCCCGGUACACUGAGUUCUUCACGGGACACGUAUCGGACACCUGGGUUUACGGGACACGGUCUGCCUCCCCUCAGGGAGAAUCUUUCUAAGGUUGACCUCGGAUCAGGUAGGGAUACCCGCUGAACUUAAGCAUAUCAAUAAGCGGAGGA